CUCACUAGUCGAGUGACCCUGCGCCGAAAAUGUACCGGGGCUAAACAUAUUACCGAAGCUGUGGAGUACACCUUUAGGUGUAUUGGUAGGAGAGCGUUCUAAGGGCGUCGAAGGCAGAUCGUGAGGACUGCUGGAGCGCUUAGAAGUGAGAAUGCCGGUAUGAGUAGCGAAAGACAGGUGAGAAUCCUGUCCACCGAAUGACUAAGGUUUCCUGGGGAAGGCUCGUCCGCCCAGGGUUAGUCGGGACCUAAGCCGAGGCCGAUAGGCGUAGGCGAUGGAUAACAGGUUGAUAUUCCUGUACCCGUUGUUUUUGUUUGAGCAAUGGAGGGACGCAGGAGGCUAAGGAAUGCAGACGAUCGGAAAUGUCUGUCCAAGCAGUAAGUCUGAAGAGGAGUCAAAUGCUUCUUUUCUUAAGGACAAGCUGUGAUGGGGAGGGAAAUAAUAGUACCGAAGUUCCUGAUGUCACACUGCCGA
rnacentral:rRNA from 1 species